rnacentral:ncRNA from 1 species
UCUGAUCCGCUCGUUCAAGGUGCUCGCUGGGGAAUUUCUUCAGCGGGAUAAUUGGGAAGCCGGUUUGAUGCCGGCGCUGCCCCCGCAACGGUAGCGGAGCUGAACCCCGACAAAUGCCACCGGAUCGAUCAAUCCGGGAAGGUGUCGGGACGGCCUGAAAUGGCCAGCUCCGGAGUCCGGAAACCAGCCUCGAACGGUUUUAACCU